rnacentral:rRNA from 1 species
CGAGGAUCCGAGUCGUAGCCGGGGCUAGUUUCUGGUAUCGCAUCCUACACGCACCGCGCUCCACCAUGACCUUCGGGUGACGAGAGCGGUCACUCCGUCCUCCACCAGACGAUCCAACCAUCGGUCCGCCGUCCAUUGAAGAAGGCGUUCUCCUCAUCGACCUGACCUGAACCCCCUAGUCUGCUCCAAUCAAGAACGAA